UUUAAUGAGGGCAGAAGCUUCCGCUACCGUGGUCGCAAGAAUAUGGCCUGUAAUAAACGCUCUCUACACUCUCGGAAAAAAGGAGAAGCUUCACCAAACUUUACUGAGUAUGCGCACAAGAAUAUUGGGCUAAUGUAGCGAGGAGCUGUAUUAUUUGAAACGAUGCAAUUACUUCGGAAAGGCUCCCAGAGGCCAGGGCUUGGAAGGUUAUCUGCCAGGGAUGAUAUGGGGUGUCCAUUCUGGAGAAAGGGAGGAAAGAAAAAAAAUAUCCCACAAUAGUGAGCGACCAAAGAUGGAAGAAGAAGUGGAAGAAGAGCUAGCCCUGGCUUUCCAGACAGGCCUACAGUUCUGGGAUAUCCUGGUGGUCUCCCUUCCAAAUACUACCUAGAUGUGACUCACCUUUGAGGGAUCAGCUAAGGUUGCUUAACUGCUGCCAUCUCCUG